rnacentral:rRNA from 1 species
UACAGAGGUCCCAAGCGUUGUUCGGAUUCACUGGGUUUAAAGGGUGCGUAGGUGGCCAAGUAAGUCAGUGGUGAAAUCUCCGGGCUUAACCCGGAAACUGCCAUUGAUACUAUUUGUCUUGAAUACUGUGGAGGUCAGCGGAAUAUGUCAUGUAGCGGUGAAAUGCUUAGAUAUGACAUAGAACACCAAUUGCGAAGGCAGCUUACUACAGGGAUAUUGACACUGAGGCACGAAAGUGUGGGGAUCAAACAGGA